UACGGGGGGGGCGAGCGUUGUCCGAAGUUACUGGGCGUAAAGCGCGUGUAGGCGGGUUGUUAAGUCCGCUGUGAAAGCCCGGUGCUCAACGCCGGAGGGUCGGUGGAUACUGGCAGUCUUGAAGUGGCUAGGGGGAAAUGGAAUUACCGGUGUAGCGGUGAAAUGCGUAGAUAUCGGUAGGAACACCAGUGGCGAAGGCGGUUUCCUGGAGCCCACUUGACGCUGAGACGCGAAAGCUGGGGGAGCAAACAGG
rnacentral:rRNA from 1 species